UACGUAGGGCGCAAGCGUUAUCCGGAAUUAUUGGGCGUAAAGAGCUCGUAGGCGGUUUGUCGCGUCUGCCGUGAAAGUCCGGGGCUCAACUCCGGAUCUGCAGUGGGUACGGGCAGACUAGAGUGCGGUAGGGGAGAUUGGAAUUCCUGGUGUAGCGGUGAAAUGCGCAGAUAUCAGGAGGAACACCGGUGGCGAAGGCGGGUCUCUGGGCCGAUACUGACGCUGAGGAGCGAAAGCGUGGGGAGCGAACAGG
rnacentral:rRNA from 1 species